CCUACGGGGGGCUGCAGUGAGGAAUCUUCCGCAAUGGGCGCAAGCCUGACGGAGCGACGCCGCGUGUGGGAUGAAGCGCCUUCGGUGUGUAAACCACUGUCAGGAAAUAGAACCAAUGAUCAUUUCCAAAGGAAGAGACGGCUAACCCUGUGCCAGCAGCCGCGGUAAUACAGGGGUCUCGAGCGUUAAUCGGAAUUACUGGGCUUAAAGGGUGCGUAGGCUGGCCCGCAAGUGCUUUGUGAAAUCCCCUGGCUCAACCAGGGAACUGCUGGGCAUACUGCGGGUCUUGAGGAAGGUAGGGGUUGCCAGAACUGUAGGUGGAGCGGUGAAAUGCGUAGAUAUCUACAGGAAUGCCGAUGGUGAAGACGGGCAACUGGGCCUUUCCUGACGCUGAGGCACGAAAGCGUGGGGAGCAAACAGGAUUAGAUACCCCUGUAGUC
rnacentral:rRNA from 1 species